AUGGCAGAUUCAUCCAUCAAUGUUAUUUCCUUGAGGAUUGUUAAAACCGGCCCUGAUUACACAUACCCGGUCGAGGUUUUUGGCAGAGUUAUUGUUAGGGAUGAGGUUGACUACAAAUGUGUCCUUCUGUUCGAUCGUGAAAAGAACAAUGCCCAAUUCAUCAAUUCGGAGGAGGAUAUGUUAGCUCUCACAGGUCCAUGCCGAGCAUUGGUUACUGAUGACUUGCUAUUUUUUGAGUUCGAUUUGAAGAUCAAGGGCAAGGGUGAGCAUGAUUCUGAAGUACAGUUUAGCAAAGGUGUAAUACUGUACCAUCUCGACCAGUAUCACAAGCGCUUCACCCGCCAGCUACCUAGCUUCCAGAGUACAGUGAAAUUGGUAUUGCAACAUGUGGCAAACCCAGUGGCAGCUAGUGUUCAAGUCUAUGUUCUGGAUAAACAGCCCGGUGUCGACUUCAAUGGUAAAAUAACAGUUGGGACUACUGGAAAUUAUAGACAACACAUGAUUGUUUAUGAUAGCAGUCUUCCCAGCAGUCACUUGAUCAGACAAGAUGGCUCCCUUGUGUUAAAUCGUAAUCUGCUAGCUGUCCAGGAGCCUUCAGAAGACACUGCGUUCAAGGACGACGAACAAAUGGUGGUCUAUGUUUGUUUUCUUGAUGCAGGUUGUGAGAUUGAGGAUGAGGAUUAUGCUGAGCCUGUGUUUGAGGAUGCGGAUUAUAUUAGGGCUGGAGGUGACGAGGAAAUCAGUGAAGAGGAUAGUGAAGGGGAAACUGAAGAAGACGAGGAUGGGUCUGUGGACCCUAAGAAUCUUGUCACUCUCAGAUAUCCUCUGCGCGAGACUGUCUGUGAAUUCGGUUCCUGCAAACUCAAAGUGAAGGUCAAAUGGACUGCCAUCCUUGAUGCGCCUCCGCAUGGUGAAUACGUCACAAGAUUUGGUGUCCUUCCAGAUGGUUACAAGUCACCUAAUUAUCGUCGGGGUUCGUUCUUCGAUCGAUAG
rnacentral:rRNA from 1 species